rnacentral:rRNA from 1 species
UACAGAGGGUGCAAACGUUGCUCGGAGUUACUGGGCGUAAAGCGCGUGUAGGCGGUGCCGCACGUCCGGUGUGAAAGCCCAGGGCUCAACCCUGGAAGUGCACUGGAUACGAUGGCGCUGGAGUCCUGAAGAGGAGGGCGGAAUUCCCGGUGUAGAGGUGAAAUUCGUAGAUAUCGGGAGGAACACCAGUGGCGAAGGCGGCUCUCUGGACAGGUACUGACGCUGAGACGCGAAAAGCGUGGGUAGCAAACAGG